rnacentral:rRNA from 1 species
GAUGAACGCUGGCGGCGUGCCUAAUACAUGCAAGUCGAGCGAACAGACGAGGAGCUUGCUCCUUUGACGUUAGCGGCGGACGGGUGAGUAACACGUAGGUAACCUACCUAUAAGACUGGGAUAACUUCGGGAAACCGGAGCUAAUACCGGAUAAUAUUUCGAACCGCAUGGUUCGAUAGUGAAAGAUGGCUUUGCUAUCACUUAUAGAUGGACCUGCGCCGUAUUAGCUAGUUGGUAAGGUAACGGCUUACCAAGGCAACGAUACGUAGCCGACCUGAGAGGGUGAUCGGCCACACUGGAACUGAGACACGUUCCAGACUCCUACGGGAGGCAGCAGUAGGGAAUCUUCCGCAAUGGGCGAAAGCCUGACGGAGCAACGCCGCGUGAGUGAUGAAGGUCUUCGGAUCGUAAAACUCUGUUAUUAGGGAAGAACAAACGUGUAAGUAACUGUGCACGUCUGGACGGUACCUAAUCAGAAAGCCACGGCUAACUACGU